rnacentral:rRNA from 1 species
UUUAAGCGGGGGAUAGCCCAGUGGUAAAGCCUGGAUUAACUACCCCAUAGCAUUGUGGUGUGGCAUGCAUAACGUAUAGAAUUCACAGAUUUAUCACUUACAGAUGGCUGUGCGCUACUGAUUAGGUAGUUGGCGGGGUAUCGUGUCCACCAAGCCUUCGAUCAUUAACUGGUGUGAGAGCCCAACCAGACACACUUGGCACUGAGACACGGGUCCACGACUUCAUACGGGAGGCAGCAGUAAGGAAUAUUGGUCAAUGGACGCAAGUCUGAACCAGCCAUGCCGCGUGAAGGAUGACAGGUCCUCUGGAUUGUAAACUUCUUUUAUCUGGGACGAAACACUCGUUUUCUAACGAGCUUGACGGUACCAGAGGAAUAAGCACCGGCUAACUCCGUGCCAGCCGCCGCGG